GGUGGGCUGGCGACGGCCACACCGGGGCGAAGCAGGCAGUGGUCGACAGCGGAAGAAAACGGAGGUGGCCGGGGCAACAAGAAGAUAACAGGUUAAAGCUAAACGUCCUUUCCUGAGACAGCGGUCGCAUCUCCUUCGCUGGCCACCUAGCGCGGCAGCACGUCUUCCAAUCCUUUUUUUUUCUUUUUCCAUCUUUUUCCUUUUUUGAUGGCAACGAAUUUCAUGUUUGGAUCGAUUUCUGUUCUACAUCACAUCGCUGCCGCGGCCCAUUCUUUCGUUUGAUGCAUCCGUUACCUUUCCAAUUUUUUCAUUUCUUUUCGCUUCCCUCUGAUUUUCUCUGGUUGAUUUGAUGUCUUCGCUGCUACUGCUGCUCCGCGUGGUCACCGUUGUAGCCUGCCGCGGCGUCCCAGUCGACGCUGUACUGUGGCCGCCGCCGCGCAUGGCCCACUGGUGCAGCCUCAGUGACGGCUGCUGCUCGCGCUAUGCUCGCUGGCGCAGCCUCUGUGACUGUCGCCACCGCUUCUUGAGCUCGGCUUGCUGAUCACGUACGUGCACGGCUCGCCGGCGCAGCCUCUGCGACAUCCGCCGCUGCGUGUGCUCGGCCCGCUGGCCACGCGCACGGCUUACGGGCACAUGCGACCGCCGCCGCCGCUGCUUGCGCUCGGCUCGCUGAUCACGCGCACUCGGCUCCGGCGCAGCUUAUGCGAUAAUCAUCGGCGCUCCCGUUCGGCUCGCCGACCCUGGCUCCGCGGCCGCAUCAAUCUCGCCACUCUCGCGCAGCUUAGUGGCCCUUCCUCCAUCGCCUCCAUCAGCCUGAGAGGCUGCAGCACAAGGGCGAUGCGGGUGGCGGCGGUGAUGCGGAUACCGGUUGUGAGGCUUCCUUCCCGGUGACAAUGCAUCCUCUCUUUUUUAUUUCUUUCUCCCAGCCCUGACGCCUCCAACAUGCCAUGGCAGCUCCACACCAUCGUAUGUCAUCGCCGCUGCCAUAGUCCUACUUACUUGGGACCUCUCCUGUCUGAGCCCCUAUGGCCGCCGCCUCCUCCCUCCCUCCCUCUCUCUCUCCCCCCGAUUUGGAUCUUGGAGACGGAGCUGCACUGGUUAAUUGGCUUUCUCCCCUGGUCUUCCUCCUGAUCUCCACCCCCAUCUCGACCAGGUACUCAACCUUGCCUCCUGUGGCGUGCUCCAUCAAAUUUAGGUCUGCACCUCCGGCCGUUCCUCUCCUCGGCUCUGCGUUCCCUCCUCUCGCCAUCUUAGUAGUUCCUUACCCGCAUCAGGUAUUCUUCUUGAUUUUUUGGCUGAUUUCUGCUGUUAUCCUCAGUUUUUCCAAUGUUAUGGUUCCCUUCUUGUGAUUGUUUAUGCUAGGUCAUUUAUGGUAGGGAGCACCGAAACACCGGAAUGACCUAUGGCUGGUCAGGUCACCAGGUUGGUUCAUUGUUUGGAGGUAAUGGAGUUUGUCGGGAAAUGUUAGUACAACUUUACUGAAUCCUCACUUCUCGGAAACAAGAUUCUGCAUUCCAACAAUCCCGGUGCAGCCUACAUUAGACCAACAGAGAUGUUAGUCUAGAGCGUGGGAUCAGGAAUAUAUUUGCAGGCCUGGUUAAGCUAGGUGUGCUUCGGUAAUGCCAGGGGAGAUGAGUAACAAUGCACAACUUGAGCAUCCUGAUCUUAGGGAGAAUUUUAUUUUUGGAAUGCACAUCCCGGUGGAGCCUAGAGCCUACAUUAGACCAACAGAGAUGAUAGUCUAGAGCGUGGGAUCAGGAAUAUAUUUACAGCCCUGGUUAUGCUAGGUGUGCUUCGGUAAUGCCAGGGGAGAUGAUUCGUCUUCUGUUUUGCUUAUAGAACAUGGUAAUUUCAGUGAUAUGAAAUCCUGUACUUCUUUUACAGCUCCACCAAAAAGUGCUUUUCAGUCGUAAUAACCCAUUAGUACAAUUUGGAUAGUCUAACUAGAGAAUAAUGAGCUGGGCAAGUGUGCUUUAGGUAUAAUAUCUAUUCAUACAACCUGUGGUCUGUAGUGUUCUCUGUAGAAGUGUAAAUAUUUCAAGCAGGCUGCGCUGUUGGAACGUUUCUGUUUCGUCACUGUUGUAACUGGUAACCCACGGAUGAUCUUAAAGCUUUCAAUAAAGUUGGACUUUUUGCC